CCUACGGGAGGCAGCAGUGGGGAAUAUUGGGCAAUGGGGGAAACCCUGACCCAGCGACGCCGCGUGGGUGAUGAAGGCCUUCGGGUCGUAAAGCCUUGUCAAGAGGAACGAAUGUCUUCAGGGCAAAUAGCCUUGGAGAGUGACGGUACCUCUGAAGGAAGCACCGGCCAACUCCGUGCCAGCAGCCGCGGUAAGACGGAGGGUGCAAGCGUUGCUCGGAAUCAUUGGGCGUAAAGGGUGCGUAGGCGGUUUCUUAAGUCUGGCGUGAAAGCCCAGGGCCCAGCCUUGGAAGUGCGCUAGAAACUGAGGAGCUUGAGUGCCGGAGGGGAGAGUGGAAUUCCUGGUGUAGCGGUGAAAUGCGUAGAUAUCAGGAGGAAUACCGGUGGCGAAAGCGACUCUCUGGACGGUAACUGACGCUGAGGCACGAAAGCGUGGGUAGC
rnacentral:rRNA from 1 species